UAUAGGCCGAUUAGAAAAAUAUUUACAGGACAGCAUCAGGAUUGAGCUUCAGAUCAAUGGUUUUGAUCACGAUAGCAAACGAACUACCUUUAUGUUUUUAUGAAAUACAGCAAAAACGUGUCAGACACUCAGUGUCUGGUUACUGGUUAGAGACAGCUGAAAGAAAAAAAAAUCUCCGACAGGCAGAGACGCAAUGCGAGUCGCAUUCUACCAAGCAAGCACCACGUCUGAAUGAACCCACGUUUACCAAAACUCUACUGGUUAGUAAGAUAUUCAGGAUGUCACUUGACUGGUGUGGAUCAACAUUGCUCUCUCAACUAUACAAGAAUGAUAUAUAUAUGUCCCAAGUACAGCUGAUCUCACAUCAGUGGACAGCAAAAUCGCGGCUAUAAUUGGGGAGGUCAGCGUGUGUGGGAUUGUGUCGGAAAAGGAGGGAGACACUGACGUGAAUGAAACCACAGAGGAGCAAGUUUAAACAGAUUUUUAAUCAUUAACGCUGUACAUUUGAGUGUGUGGGGUGAUAAAUGGAUAAAUGUUGCCAAUUGUUUUUCCUCCAGUCCUUCCGGAGUCUGAAGCUGUGGGUGAACAGGAGGGGUUCUCAGGUGUAGAUGCACAGUGUCCGGCUCAAAGCAGUGCCCCUUCUGCAUAUGGCACGUCCAAAAGUGGUCGAGUACUCACUGACGCAGUCCUGCAGUUACAGCAGAGACAAUAAACGCUGUCAACAGGGUUGCAGAUGAGCUACGGCAGAUGAGAGAAGUGAUGCAAGAAAUUGCACAAUCAUUAAAAGAUGCCGUUAAAACAUGAA